rnacentral:rRNA from 1 species
AGCUUGCACAGGUGGCUGCAUGGCUGUCGUCAGCCCGUGUCGUGAGAUGUUCGGUUAAGUCCGCUAACGAGCGCAACCCUCACUGUGUGUUAUAUGUGUCACACGGGACUGCCGGUUUUAAGCCGGAGGAAGGUGGGAUGACGUCAAGUCAGCAUGGCCUUUAUAUCCUGGGCUACACACACGCUACAAUGGUCGGUACAAUAGGUUGCCAAGCCGCGAGGCGGAGCCAAUCCAAAAAAAGCCGGCCUCAGUUCAGAUUGUAGGCUGCAACUCGCCUGCAUGAAGAUGGAGUUGCUAGUAACCGCAGGUCAGCAAUACUGCGGUGAAUACGUUCCCGGGUCUU